GUCUGGAUGGUUCAGUGGUCAGAACAUCUGCCUAGUAAGUAGGAGACUCAGGUUCAAAUCCUGAUUCGGCACA